rnacentral:lncRNA from 1 species
GGCCAUUUGGAAGCAUUGGGGACUUUGGGGUCAUUAGGGCCCAUUGGGGCUUUGGGGGCCUUUGGGGGGCAUUGGGGCCAUUUGGAAGCAUUGGGGGCUUUUGGGGCAUUGGGGUUUUUUGGGGGGCUCUGGGUCAUUGGGGCCCUUUGGGAUGAUUGGAGGCUUUGGGGCAUUGGGGCCAUUUGGAAGCAUUGGGGACUUUGGGGGCAUUAGGGCCCAUUGGGGCUUUGGGGGCCUUUGGGGCAUUGGGGUUUUUUGGGGGGCUCUGGGGUCAUUGGGGUCAUUGGAGGCUUUGGGGCUCUUAGGGGCAUUGGGGCCAUUUGGAAGCAUUGGGGGCUUUGGGGGCCUUUGGGGCAUUGGUGUCCCUUGGGGCCCAUUGGGGGCUUUGGGGCUUUUAGGGGCAUUGGGGGCUUUGGGGGCCUUUGGGGCAUUGGUGUCCCUUGGGGCCCAUUAGGGGCUUUGGGGCUUUUAGGGGCAUUAGGGCCAAUUGGGGACUUUGGGGGCAUUAGGGGGCAUUGGGGUUUUUUGGGGGGCUCUGGGUCAUUGGGGCCCUUUGGGGUCAUUGGAGGCUUUGAGGGCAUUAGGGCUCUUAGGGGCAUUGGGGC